UACACAUGCAGUCGNCGGUGAANCGGAGCUUGCUCUGUGGGAUCAGUGGCGAACGGGUGAGUAACACGUGAGCAACCUGCCCCUGACUCUGGGAUAAGCGCUGGAAACGGCGUCUAAUACUGGAUAUGUGACGUGACCGCAUGGUCUGCGUCUGGAAAGAAUUUCGGUUGGGGAUGGGCUCGCGGCCUAUCAGCUUGUUGGUGAGGUAAUGGCUCACCAAGGCGUCGACGGGUAGCCGGCCUGAGAGGGUGACCGGCCACACUGGGACUGAGACACGGCCCAGACUCCUACGGGAGGCAGCAGUGGGGAAUAUUGCACAAUGGGCGCAAGCCUGAUGCAGCAACGCCGCGUGAGGGACGACGGCCUUCGGGUUGUAAACCUCUUUUAGCAGGGAAGAAGCGAAAGUGACGGUACCUGCAGAAAAAGCGCCGGCUAACUACGUGCCAGCAGCCGCGGUAAUACGUAGGGCGCAAGCGUUAUCCGGAAUUAUUGGGCGUAAAGAGCUCGUAGGCGGUUUGUCGCGUCUGCUGUGAAAUCCGGAGGCUCAACCUCCGGCCUGCAGUGGGUACGGGCAGACUAGAGUGCGGUAGGGGAGAUUGGAAUUCCUGGUGUAGCGGUGGAAUGCGCAGAUAUCAGGAGGAACACCGAUGGCGAAGGCAGAUCUCUGGGCCGUAACUGACGCUGAGGAGCGAAAGGGUGGGGAGCAAACAGGCUUAGAUACCCUGGUAGUCCACCCCGUAAACGUUGGGAACUAGUUGUGGGGUCCAUUCCACGGAUUCCGUGACGCAGCUAACGCAUUAAGUUCCCCGCCUGGGGAGUACGGCCGCAAGGCUANAACUCANAGGAAUUGACGGGGACCCGCACAAGCGGCGGAGCAUGCGGAUUAAUUCGAUGCAACGCGAAGAACCUUACCAAGGCUUGACAUAUACGAGAACGGGCCAGANAUGGUCAACUCUUUGGACACUCGUAAACAGGUGGUGCAUGGUUGUCGUCNNCU
rnacentral:rRNA from 1 species